ACAUUAAUUAAUCAUAUUAUCUUAGGGAAAUUGUUAGGGAUGGCGUUUCAUUUCAGUGCUAAUCAGUACGAAGAUGCAUACAGCAGUAAUAGACUGCAAAAUUACCAAAUAUCUGACAACUUUAGAGAGCGUCCAGUAUCAAGGAGAGGAGCUACAAAGGUAAUAUCCAACGACAGAGGUCACAUUGUGAUCCCUACUCGGAGGUCGUUGGAGUCACCUUGGGGGGACUUCCUAGGGACGUGGGAUCGAAAAAAGAAGAGCACCAGUCUGUACUGACACACGGGUCGCAUUCUUAUGUUGCUCCGUAUCCUGCUAUCAGAAGCUACUGAAGUUGCAUUUCUCCCUGAUGAUAUCCGCAGCAAAUACAAACGGAGUUUUUCGGGAAUGCGGGGAUACGUCUACUGGCGAGGAUCAAAUAUCUGUGACGAACAUUAAUCAACCAGCCACUGACAUGAUAUAGAAGAUUUUGUACUCUAUUGGGUCUUUUGGAUCAAACGUUUCCCAGCUUAAUUCCUGAACAUUCUUUUUGUUAAAUUAUAUUGGAAGUUUGAUAUUGGGCAAUCUAACCACUUAUAAGACCCACAGUGCUGACGCACGGGCCUCUGAUGCCUUGAUAAGUUUCAUUUUUAUUAUAGUUAUAAGUUAUUUUGUUUACUCGACUGGAGUGAGAUAAAGAAUCUUCACGAUCCACACUCCACAGUCCCAGAGAUAGUCCUACUCAAUUUGAUUUCUCGCCAUAUUUUUACAGUCAUGUUAUAUAAUAACAUUGCCAUCACAAUUUAAGACCAUCAAGUGCUACUUUUCGAGCCUGGUUCCAAAAGUACAAGUGCGUCCCCAAAUCAGCAGCAAUCAUUUGAAAACCUCCUCCCCUCGGCUGAUUACAUGAUAUGUGCAAUAACUCAGGAACUCGUUUAUUCAGCAAAUUUAUGUUUUUUCUUAAUUGGGUGUUAAAACUUUAAAAGUGCUUGUGCUGUUGUUUUCGCGGCCUUAUACUCUUAUACCCUACUAUACAGCCAAUAUAAAUAAUAGACUAU